UACGGGGGGGGCAAGCGUUGUUCGGAAUUACUGGGCGUAAAGGGCUCGUAGGUGGCCAACUAAGUCAGACGUGAAAUCCCUCGGCUUAACCGGGGAACUGCGUCUGAUACUGGAUGGCUUGAGUUCGGGAGAGGGAUGCGGAAUUCCAGGUGUAGCGGUGAAAUGCGUAGAUAUCUGGAGGAACACCGGUGGCGAAGGCGGCCUGCUGGGCAGUAGCUGACACUGAGGCGCGACAGCGUGGGGAGCAAACAGG
rnacentral:rRNA from 1 species